CAGCCGCCGCGGUAAUACGUAGGGACCGAGCGUUGUCCGGAUUCAUUGGGCGUAAAGCGCGCGCAGGCGGCUUCGUAGGUCGGGUGUGAAAACCAGAGGCUCAACCUCUGGCCUGCACCCGAAACCACGUCGCUAGAGGCAGGUAGGGGAGAUCGGAAUUCCUGGUGUAGCGGUGAAAUGCGCAGAUAUCAGGAGGAACACCGGUGGCGAAGGCGGAUCCCUGAGCCUGUCCUGACGCUGAGGUGCGAAAGCUAGGGGAGCGAACAGGAUUAGAUACCCUGGUAGUCCUAGCCGUAAACGUUGGAUGCUAGGUGUGGGCGGAUAUUGACCCCGUCCGUGCCGGAGCUAACGCAUUAAGCAUCCCGCCUGGGGAGUACGGCCGCAAGGCUAAAACUUAAAGGAAUUGACGG
rnacentral:rRNA from 1 species